rnacentral:rRNA from 1 species
AAAGAUUUAUCAAUGAACUGAGUGACCAUUUGAAUGAGCAAUCAUUCAGCACAGUCAAUUCAACAUUACUUCGCUUUUUAAUUAAGCAAAGAAUGUAAUCAGUAUUCAUUGAGCCGAAGCGAAAGCUUCAAAAAACUUUUAAUUGAAGAGUUUGAUCAUGGC